AACUUUCAACAACGGAUCUCUUGGUUCUGGCAUCGAUGAAGACCGCAGCGAAAUGCGAUAAGUAAUGUGAAUUGCAGAAUUCAGUGAAUCAUCGAAUCUUUGAACGCACAUUGCGCCCAUUAGUAUUCUAGUGGGCAUGCCUAUUCGAGCGUCAU
rnacentral:rRNA from 1 species